rnacentral:rRNA from 1 species
CAGUCGUACCGACGGAAAAUCAGCUCUUUGAGUGCGGACUUGUGGAUUUACGUGAGCUUUACGGCCUCGCUGUUUGCAACGUUCGUUCUUUUUGGGUGUACUUUUUCGUAUGGUAGGCCAAUAUCAGUUUCGAUCGCUAUAAAAUGACCGGCGGAAUGUAGCUUCGAUCUCGUAUUGAAGUGUUAUAGCCUCUGGUAGAUGUGGUGAUUGGGACUGAGGGUUGCAACGAAUACCUUCUGGGCUAUCCGUCUGAUCUCUGAAAGUUGCUUAGGUGCCGAAAGCGUGCUUACGGUUAUUUAAGUUGACGGUCAAAAGGUUAGAACGUGAUUAUA